CAGGCAACUUCCAGAUAGGUAAACCUAUCUAUCUAAUGACUAUAUAAUCGAAAUGCAAACUUGAAAAUGGAAUAUGAUGUCUACGUUUUCUGGAUGCCAUUUGCCUAACGAGCACAGAGCCUUCCUGGGACUUGGCAGAGCCACGCUUUGCCUCCACCACUGCACCGGCCCCUCUUGUUUUCCGAGAGACUGACUGUCUGCUUCAUGCACUGCUCUCAUCCGUGCAGAGUUAAAACUUCUCAGUGAUUCAAACAUUCUUCCUGUGACAUUAUAUGACCUUCAAGCUUGCUACUUCUUUGGACUGUGUGGCCAACAGCUCACUGUAUAGUCAGCUCUUGA